CCUACGGGGGUCAGCAGUGGGGAAUAUUGGACAAUGGGCGAAAGCCUGAUCCAGCCAUGCCGCGUGUGUGAAGAAGGCCUUCGGGUUGUAAAGCACUUUCAGUGGGGAAGAAAGCCUUGGGGCUAAUACCCUCGAGGAAGGACAUCACCCACAGAAGAAGCACCGGCUAACUCCGUGCCAGCAGCCGCGGUAAUACGGAGGGUGCGAGCGUUAAUCGGAAUUACUGGGCGUAAAGCGCGCGUAGGCGGUCUGAUAAGCCGGUUGUGAAAGCCCCGGGCUCAACCUGGGAACGGCAUCCGGAACUGUCAGGCUAGAGUGCAGGAGAGGAAGGUAGAAUUCCCGGUGUAGCGGUGAAAUGCGUAGAGAUCGGGAGGAAUACCAGUGGCGAAGGCGGCCUUCUGGACUGCCACUGACGCUGAGGUGCGAAAGCGUGGGUAGCAAACAGGAUUAGAUACCCUAGUAGUC
rnacentral:rRNA from 1 species